GCUAAAGUAACAUGUUUUAAUCUCCACUCACUAUAAUGUUAUAAUAACCAAGUAGAUGACAAUAAAGAGAAUGACAACAGCCAAUUAGGGUUUCACAUGCUCUCUAAUGAAGUGCUCGAUCUGCGAAACCUCACCGGUUAAACCGGAAGCCUCAGCUACUGUUACCUUGUUGUGGCACUGAGAGAACACAAACGCCUCACCAGACACCCCGAGUGUAUACUCAUUCGUAACAUCAGCGCUGGACAUCGCAGUCCUUGAUGCUCGGAGCUUAUCUAAUUCCU
rnacentral:misc_RNA from 1 species